UACAGAGGUCUCAAGCGUUGUUCGGAUUCAUUGGGCGUAAAGGGUGCGUAGGUGGCGUCGUAAGUCGGGUGUGAAAUUUCGGAGCUUAACUCCGAAACUGCAUUCGAUACUGCGGUGCUUGAGGACUGGAGAGGAGACUGGAAUUUACGGUGUAGCAGUGAAAUGCGUAGAGAUCGUAAGGAAGACCAGUGGCGAAGGCGGCAUCCUGGACCGAUACUGACGCUGAGGAGCGAAAGCCAGGGGAGCAAACGGG
rnacentral:rRNA from 1 species